rnacentral:rRNA from 1 species
GACGAACGCUGGCGGCGUGCUUAACACAUGCAAGUCGAACGGUAAGGCCCUUCGGGGUACUCGAGUGGCGAACGGGUGAGUAACACGUGGGUGAUCUGCCCUGCACUUCGGGAUAAGCCUGGGAAACUGGGUCUAAUACCGGAUAGGACUCCUGGCUUCAUGGUUGGGGGUGAAAGCUUUUGCGGUGUGGGAUGGGCCCGCGGCCUAUCAGCUUGUUGGUGGGGUAAUGGCCUACCAAGGCGACGACGGGUAGCCGGCCUGAGAGGGUGACCGGUCACACUGGGACUGAGAUACGGCCCAGACUCCUACGGGAGGCAGCAGAGGGGAAUAUUGCACAAUGGGCGCAAGCCUGAUGCAGCGACGCCGCGUGAGGGAUGACGGCCUUCGGGUUGUAAACCUCUUUCAGCUAUGACGAAGCGCAAGUGACGGUAGUAGCAGAAGAAGGACCGGCCAACUACGUGCCAGCCGCCGCGGUAA